AUCCUUUUGUAGUUCAUAAGUGUAGAUCAUCAUGAACUACAAAAGGAUUUUCAUGCUUAUGUGUGAAAUGUGCCUUUCUCAAACCUUGUUAUGACACUACCUAUUUGAUG
ensembl:snoRNA